rnacentral:rRNA from 1 species
GACGAACGCUGGCGGCGUGCCUAAUACAUGCAAGUCGAACGCUGAAGGAGGAGCUUGCUCUUCUGGAUGAGUUGCGAACGGGUGAGUAACGCGUAGGUAACCUGCCUGGUAGCGGGGGAUAACUAUUGGAAACGAUAGCUAAUACCGCAUAAGAGUAGAUGUUGCAUGACAUUUACUUAAAAGGUGCAAUUGCAUCACUACCAGAUGGACCUGCGUUGUAUUAGCUAGUUGGUGGGGUAACGGCUUACCAAGGCGACGAUACAUAGCCGACCUGAGAGGGUGAUCGGCCACACUGGGACUGAGACACGGCCCAGACUCCUACGGGAGGCAGCAGUAGGGAAUCUUCGGCAAUGGACGGAAGUCUGACCGAGCAACGCCGCGUGAGUGAAGAAGGUUUUCGGAUCGUAAAGCUCUGUUGUAAGAGAAGAACGAGUGUGAGAGUGGAAAGUUCACACUGUGACGGUAUCUUACCAGAAAGGGACGGCGAACUACGU